UGAGGCACCUUUUAAAGCAGUCCCUGUCCUUUUGUAGAAGUCACGGUCAAAAGAAUGCCAAAAACAUUACUUUCACCGACGGUGGCUGUGCAGUUAGAUAAUAACUGAUUCAGGGGAAGGACACCU
rnacentral:snoRNA from 1 species